GGCGGGGGCGGGGCUCGGUGUCGGAGGCGCUGGAGCUUCGGGCGGUCCCGUGGCGUACUACUACGGCGCGCUGGGCCCGGCGCUGCCGCCGCCGCUGCUGUACUGGACCUACCCCACGCCGCCCGUGUCGCCGGCGCACUACUACCACGCGCCGCCCCCGCACCACGCCCACACCCCGCACGCCCCGCACCACGCGCCCGCCAUGAUGCCGGAGCUGGUGGGAGUGGGGGGCGGGUCCCCGCUGCCCCCGGGCGCGGCGCCGCGGCCCCCUGCGCCGCCGCCCGCCGACUGGCCCGUGUUCAUGGUCAACUGAGUACCCUCUCCCGCGCCCACCGCACCGCCGCGCUGCUGCGAGCGGUCUCGGCGGUCGACGCGAGGGCGAGCAGCGGCGCCGCGGGUGUGCACUUCUGCCCCGGCUCGACGGAUCGCGGAGUCUCGUCGCCUUCGUCGCCGAAGCUCCACUUUCGUCUCUUUAGUAUAAAAGUAGCUCUCGAUUUAAUUGUCUGCUGUAAUCACUGAUCGACUAUAACUACUUGGGCUUACCAAUAAUCUCUGGAGGGGCGACGAUAGCCUCGAAGUGAUAUUUUAGUAGGAAAACGCAGGUGAUACUUAAAUAAUUAAAUAUUAUAUUAAGGCGACGAUGGCCCGGCGCGGGCGCGAGCGACGGCCCCGGGUCGCCGAUAUAUUAAUAAUAAUAUGUAUAAAGUAUAAACAAAACGAAGAUUUUGUACCUGAUCGAUCCCCGUCUAAGGGCGAAGCUAAACGAGCGUAAUUUUGUGAGUCAUGAUUUGUAUAAAAAGAUAUUUACG